CCCCCGAUAGAAGAAUGUGAAACGUCACCUCCUUAUUCAUAACCCACUGAAACAUAACCCCUGCACCAAAACAACUAGUGAGGGGAUUCAGACACCUUAGUCCAACCUUACUUAUCCUACAGUUUUACUCAGUGUAUUAUUGCCCUGGUGCCUAGGAAUGUAUUGCUCUCAAUGUACUGCCUCAAAGGAGACAGUGUUGAUGUUUAAGGGGAGCACUUCGGGGGGGGGGGGGGGUAUUUAUUAAUUCAUUGAUUAAUUACCAUGUACACUUGUUCGUAUUUUAUUUUCUUCUUCCCUGGCCUGGUACAGCACCUUCUUUCUUCCCUGGCCUGGAUACAGCACCUUUCUUCUUCCCUGGCCUGGGUACAGCACCUUUCUUCUCCCUGGCCUGGAUACAGCACCUUUCUUCUUCCCUGGCCUGGAUACAGCACCUUUCUUCUUCCCUGGCCUGGGAUACAGCACCUUUCUUCUUCCCUGGCCUGGAUACAGCACCUUUCUUCUCCCUGGCCUGGGUACAGCACCUUUCUUCUUCCCUGGCCUGGAUACAGCACCUUUCUUCUUCCCUGGCCUGGAUACAGCACCUUUCUUUCUCUCCAUUAUAUUAGGACUAGAGAUAGUGUCACGAUCCUGAGAUGGAACAAUGGUUUACUGUUGAUUGAUUGAACACUGGUUUACUGUUGAUUGAUUGAACAAUGGUUUACUGUUGAUUGAUUGAACAAUGGUUUACUGUUGAUUGAUUGAACAAUGGUUUACUGUCGAUUGAUGGAACAAUGGUUUACUGUUGAUUGAUUGAACGAUGGUUUACUGUUGCUGGGACUGCAACACCACAGUGCAGUUACCCUUUUCCCUAUACAGUACACUACUUUUGACCGGGCACUGGUCAAAAGUACUGUCCUAUAUAUGAAAUAGGGUGCCAUUUGGGACGCAAGGAAUAUCAUGUGCUGGCUGUCGGGUGAGUUGGUUUGUGUUGGAGGCUGUUGAGGCAAAAGGCUGUGGGCUAGCCUGGCCCUGAUUGGGUGUGUUGUAUAUUCUGUUCAUUGUCUUACGUCAGAUAGCACAAUGAUUCCACCUGCAACCGUCGGUUGAGGGACGAGCCUCGCGUAGAUGUGAUGCCACCUGACGUAAGACAAUGGUACAACUCUGACGCAGCAGACCAAAGGUCAGGACCCGGUUAGUUAUGGUAACUCAGAGCAGACCAUAGGUCAGGACCCGGUUAGUUACGGUAACUCAGCAGACCGUAAGUCAGGACCCGGUUAGUUACGGUAACUCAGAGCAGACCAUAGGUCAGGACCCGGUUAGUUACGGUAACUCAGAGCAGACCAUAGGUCAGGACCCGGUUAGUUACGGUAACUCAGGACCCUGUUAGUUACGGUAACUCAGGAUCCUGUUAGUUACGGUAACUCAGAGCAGAUCGUAAGUCAGGACCCUGUUAGUUACGGUAACUCAGAGCAGACCAUAGGUCAGGACCCGGUUAGUUACGGUAACUCAGCAGACCGUAAGUCAGGACCCGGUUAGUUACGGUAACUCAGAG